rnacentral:lncRNA from 1 species
UAAUGAGAAUUUUGAUCUAAAUAAUACUUUGCAUCUCACUUCAAACAUUUCUGGAAUUCAUAUUUCACGAGUUGUGAAGGCUUCUUCCAUUCAUUCACCAGGAUUUCCUAGCAAAUGAGAGUCCACUUCCUUCCUAGUUAACUACAAAUUUGUAUUCUACCUAGGCUUAAUGCUAGUGAAGGAAAAUUAACUUUCAUUUUUACCAGAAUAUUUGAGGUGCAGAUGAAAAAUGCCUUGCUGUAUUGCAAAAGUGUUAAGUUAUGCUUUUUUUGCCAGGUUUGUGGCAAUCAGAGUUUUUCACAGAGCUCUGAUCCUGAAUGAUUACUUUGGUCCCAGGCAUCUGAACACAGGGCUGUUCUGCAUUGAAUGUGUGUGCUGGCUUCUUGGGAUAGGAAGGAUGAUUUUGAUUUUCUACAGAGAAACAUAUUUCCCAGGUAGAGAGAAUGAAAUAUUCUCAAACCAUUUUUUCAGUUCUGGUUGUGGAACUCCUCCAUGAAGAAAGAAGGAAGAUUUUCAAAAGAUUUCAUGAAAUUUUAACUUCCGUAAUAAUUCCUUUACACAGUCAGUUUGUUAAAUGAAAGCUGUAAAAAAUGUCUUAAGAGUUGAAUGAUUGACUUAUACCAAGUGCAAUUCAAUCCCACUAAACUUCCUAGUAAAAGGACAAAAAGAAACCAGACUUUGUGGGCAAAGUUUAAAAAUUUGGUCUGGAAAUAGUCUAGGAGGCAGCUGUCUUCUCCUCACUCACACUGUGAAGUUUUCAGGAUGAUGGGAAUAAGAAGAAUAGGUCAUUUAUUCUCUCUAUUCUUUCUACUCUUCAUCUGUCCUCUCUUUUUCUUGGGUUCUUAUACAUAAUGGACACUACUGGUCCUCUUAAGUAUUUGCAGAGUUUGGAACAAUCCACGUCUGUGUAUUUGAACCAAUAUUCAUGAAAGUUACCAUUUUUUCAAGUACUACAUAUUUCCUCUCUCCCAAAGAUAAGGUAACAUAUACAUAUAUCAUAAUUUCUAAUCUAUUUUUAUACAUGGUGAUCUCAAGCUGCAGAAAUAAGAUAUCGUUUGUUGACUACUCUGUGUUGAGGCACUUGAUGGAUGCUGACAUGAAAGUAGUGUGAGACAUCGUAUGUUUGAUCAUAACAUAGCAGCAGAUCAGAUUUUAUAGAAUUCUUUAAGUUGCUGCUCAAUUGUUCUACCAGGAGUUUCCAGGAGAAUUCCAGUGCUAUCUCCUUUGCACACUUAGGUCAGCAUCACAGAUAAAGAUUCAUUACAAUGUAUGUAUCACAUAAUACUCCUCAGCAUCAAGUGCUCAGAUUUUCCAGCUGAAGAACAAAGUAAAUUAUUACCUCCUAAAAUGUAAAAGCAUACCAUUCACUUUAAAUACAUCAUUAUAUUAAGCAAACAAAUGAACAAAGUACUUUUCCUACAUUUUUCCUUUAGGGAGAUAAUGGAAUAAAAAAAUGAAACGUGUGUGGUAGAUAUCA